UUGAGCAAUCCUACCAAUAUUCAGCCAAGUGCGAAUUAUUGUAACCUUACCCCUAUUUUUUAGUCUAAUUUGACCGGAUUAAUUAUGUAACUUUAAGUUACUUGUUUGUUGUAACUUAUAAACUUUAUACCAUUUAAUAUUGCUUACUUUGUGAUUAACAAAGUAAAAUGAUAGUAAGUUUUAUUUGUAUAUUUCAGAUGAGAAAGCAGUAAUGAACAUAUUUAGAAGUUCUUAAUAUAUUUUAUUGUAAUUAUAUUAGAAGGAAAUGAUAUAAUAUUGAUUUAAAUUUAUAAAUAAAGUUUAUACUUCAUGAACUUUGGAAAUAUAAAAUCUAGUGAACAAUACUAAGUAAUGAAAAAGAGAAGCCAACUAAAAGUACUAACAGAAACCAAUAAUGGACAAGUUUUAUUAAAGUCUUAUCUUUUUAUUAAUUUAAGUGUUAUAUUAUGUACCUGAAAAUUAAUCUGAUAAUGGAGGAUGAAGCAUUUUAUGAAUAAUGUAAAAAAAUAAGAGGAGUGGAAUAAGAAAUGAUGGUUCGUUAAGUUACCUCAAGGACAGGAAACAGUAACUGAAACUAUGUUCGUACAUUUAAUCUUAACAAGUUCAGCAGUUUGAAUGUUAAUGAGAUAUUUAUUAUAAACAAACUGAAUUUGUAGAUUUUGGGAAGAAUUAUAUCUUUACAAUAACUAUUUUUAUUACUAUUGUUGUGUUGAGGAAACAAUUACUAUUUUUUUAAUUACCCAGGUUGUAUUCAUAGUAACUGUAGGUAUCAUAGUAUUUUAUGAAAUCAUCACACCUAAGGUUAGGUUUUAUGAAUCAAAAAAUUUUUUGUAUAUAACAGCAAACAAACAAGAUAUUGAUAUUGCUGCAAAUUAACACUUACAUUUAUUAGUUAAUUAUCUACAUAUAUAAAUAUGAAUACAUCUACAUUAGGUAAUGCAUUUAAUUUGGUGCACCUGUGUGUGUUCAGUAGUAAUGUGUGUAUUGUUUAAUAAGUUGUAUGCUUAUUUUUCUAUGUAUACUAUGCAACAUGUUAAGGAAGAUAGUCAACAGAGGUGCCUUAUUUGAAUAAAAAAUAACGAUGACUGAAA